rnacentral:rRNA from 1 species
GAGAGUUGGGUAGUCCGCACGAGCGCACCUUGAUCCUAUGUUGCCAGCGGAUAAUGCCGGGGACUCGUAGGAGACUGCCGGGGUCAACUCGGAGGAAGGUGGGGACGACGUCAAGUCAUCAUGCCCCUUAUAUCCAGGGGCUGCAAACAUGCUACAAUGGCCGGUACAGAGGGCAGCAAAACCGCGAGGUUGAGCGAAUCCCACAAAGCCGGUCUCAGUUCGGAUUGGAGUCUGCAACUCGACUCCAUGAAGGCGGAGUCGCUAGUAAUCCCGGAUCAGCAACGCCGGGGUGAAUACGUUCCCGGGCCUUGUACACACCGCCCGUCACACCACGAAAGUCAGCAACACCCGAAGUCAGUGGCCUAACUCUUAGGAGAAGGAGCUGCCGAAGGUGGGGUCGGCGAUUGGGGUGAAGUCGUAACAAGGUAGCCGUACCGGAAGGUGCGGCUGGAUCACCUCCUUUCU